rnacentral:rRNA from 1 species
GGGUUGUGAGGUUAAGCGACUAAGCGUACACGGUGGAUGCCCUGGCAGUCAGAGGCGAUGAAGGACGUGCUAAUCUGCGAUAAGCGUCGGUAAGGUGAUAUGAACCGUUAUAACCGGCGAUUUCCGAAUGGGGAAACCCAGUGUGAUUCGUCACACUAUCAUUAACUGAAUCCAUAGGUUAAUGAGGCGAACCGGGGGAACUGAAACAUCUAAGUACCCCGAGGAAAAGAAAUCAACCGAGAUUCCCCCAGUAGCGGCGAGCGAACGGGGAGGAGCCCAGAGCCUGAAUCAGUGUGUGUGUUAGUGGAAGCGUCUGGAAAGGCGCGCGAUACAGGGUGACAGCCCCGUACACAAAAAUGCACAUACUGUGAGCUCGAUGAGUAGGGCGGGACACGUGGUAUCCUGUCUGAAUAUGGGGGGACCAUCCUCCAAGGCUAAAUACUCCUGACUGACCGAUAGUGAACCAGUACCGUGAGGGAAAGGCGAAAAGAACCCCGGCGAGGGGAGUGAAAAAGAACCUGAAACCGUGUACGUACAAGCAGUGGGAGCCUCUUAAUGGGGUGACUGCGUACCUUUUGUAUAAUGGGUCAGCGACUUAUAUUCUGUAGCAAGGUUAACCGAAUAGGGGAGCCGAAGGGAAACCGAGUCUUAACUGGGCGUUAAGUUGCAGGGUAUAGACCCGAAACCCGGUGAUCUAGCUAUGGGCAGGUUGAAGGUUGGGUAACACUAACUGGAGGACCGAACCGACUAAUGUUGAAAAAUUAGCGGAUGACUUGUGGCUGGGGGUGAAAGGCCAAUCAAACCGGGAGAUAGCUGGUUCUCCCCGAAAGCUAUUUAGGUAGCGCCUCGUGAAUUCAUCUCCGGGGGUAGAGCACUGUUUCGGCAAGGGGGUCAUCCCGACUUACCAACCCGAUGCAAACUGCGAAUACCGGAGAAUGUUAUCACGGGAGACACACGGCGGGUGCUAACGUCCGUCGUGAAGAGGGAAACAACCCAGACCGCCAGCUAAGGUCCCAAAGUCAUGGUUAAGUGGGAAACGAUGUGGGAAGGCCCAGACAGCCAGGAUGUUGGCUUAGAAGCAGCCAUCAUUUAAAGAAAGCGUAAUAGCUCACUGGUCGAGUCGGCCUGCGCGGAAGAUGUAACGGGGCUAAACCAUGCACCGAAGCUGCGGCAGCGACGCUUAUGCGUUGUUGGGUAGGGGAGCGUUCUGUAAGCCUGUGAAGGUGGCCUGUGAGGGUUGCUGGAGGUAUCAGAAGUGCGAAUGCUGACAUAAGUAACGAUAAAGCGGGUGAAAAGCCCGCUCGCCGGAAGACCAAGGGUUCCUGUCCAACGUUAAUCGGGGCAGGGUGAGUCGACCCCUAAGGCGAGGCCGAAAGGCGUAGUCGAUGGGAAACAGGUUAAUAUUCCUGUACUUGGUGUUACUGCGAAGGGGGGACGGAGAAGGCUAUGUUGGCCGGGCGACGGUUGUCCCGGUUUAAGCGUGUAGGCUGGUUUUCCAGGCAAAUCCGGAAAAUCAAGGCUGAGGCGUGAUGACGAGGCACUACGGUGCUGAAGCGACAAAUGCCCUGCUUCCAGGAAAAGCCUCUAAGCAUCAGGUAACAUUAAAUCGUACCCCAAACCGACACAGGUGGUCAGGUAGAGAAUACCAAGGCGCUUGAGAGAACUCGGGUGAAGGAACUAGGCAAAAUGGUGCCGUAACUUCGGGAGAAGGCACGCUGAUAUGUAGGUGAAGCGACUUGCUCGUGGAGCUGAAAUCAGUCGAAGAUACCAGCUGGCUGCAACUGUUUAUUAAAAACACAGCACUGUGCAAACACGAAAGUGGACGUAUACGGUGUGACGCCUGCCCGGUGCCGGAAGGUUAAUUGAUGGGGUUAGCGGUAACGCGAAGCUCUUGAUCGAAGCCCCGGUAAACGGCGGCCGUAACUAUAACGGUCCUAAGGUAGCGAAAUUCCUUGUCGGGUAAGUUCCGACCUGCACGAAUGGCGUAAUGAUGGCCAGGCUGUCUCCACCCGAGACUCAGUGAAAUUGAACUCGCUGUGAAGAUGCAGUGUACCCGCGGCAAGACGGAAAGACCCCGUGAACCUUUACUAUAGCUUGACACUGAACAUUGAGCCUUGAUGUGUAGGAUAGGUGGGAGGCUUUGAAGUGUGGACGCCAGUCUGCAUGGAGCCGACCUUGAAAUACCACCCUUUAAUGUUUGAUGUUCUAACGUGGGCCCCUUACCGGGGUUGCGGACAGUGUCUGGUGGGUAGUUUGACUGGGGCGGUCUCCUCCUAAAGAGUAACGGAGGAGCACGAAGGUUGGCUAAUCCUGGUCGGACAUCAGGAGGUUAGUGCAAUGGCAUAAGCCAGCUUGACUGCGAGCGUGACGGCGCGAGCAGGUGCGAAAGCAGGUCAUAGUGAUCCGGUGGUUCUGAAUGGAAGGGCCAUCGCUCAACGGAUAAAAGGUACUCCGGGGAUAACAGGCUGAUACCGCCCAAGAGUUCAUAUCGACGGCGGUGUUUGGCACCUCGAUGUCGGCUCAUCACAUCCUGGGGCUGAAGUAGGUCCCAAGGGUAUGGCUGUUCGCCAUUUAAAGUGGUACGCGAGCUGGGUUUAGAACGUCGUGAGACAGUUCGGUCCCUAUCUGCCGUGGGCGCUGGAGAACUGAGGGGGGCUGCUCCUAGUACGAGAGGACCGGAGUGGACGCAUCACUGGUGUUCGGGUUGUCAUGCCAAUGGCACUGCCCGGUAGCUAAAUGCGGAAGAGAUAAGUGCUGAAAGCAUCUAAGCACGAAACUUGCCCCGAGAUGAGUUCUCCCUGACUCCUUGAGAGUCCUGAAGGAACGUUGAAGACGACGACGUUGAUAGGCCGGGUGUGUAAGCGCAGCGAUGCGUUGAGCUAACCGGUACUAAUGAACCGUGAGGCUUAACCUUACAACGCCGAAGGUGUUU